rnacentral:rRNA from 1 species
UGCGUAGGUGGUCUUUUAAGUUUUUAGGUAAAUCUUAAGUACAAAAUUUAAAAACCUAUCAAUACUAUCAGACUUGAGUUUAAUAGGAGGUUUGCUGAACAUUAAGUGUAGAGGUGAAAUUCUGCAAUAUUUAACGGGCAUGCAAUAGGCGAAAGCUGCUUUCCACUUUAACACUGACACUGAGGCACGAAAGCAUAGGUAUCAAACG